rnacentral:rRNA from 1 species
GACGUAGGGCGCGAGCGUUGUCCGGAUUUACUGGGCGUAAAGGGCGCGUAGGCGGUCAGCACAAGUCAGUUGUGAAAUCUCCGAGCUUAACUCGGAAAGGUCAACUGAUACUGUGCGACUAGAGUGCGGAAGGGGCAACUGGAAUUCUUGGUGUAGCGGUGAAAUGCGUAGAUAUCAAGAGGAACACCUGCGGCGAAGGCGGGUUGCUGGGCCGACACUGACGCUCAUGCACGAAAGCGUGGGGAGCAAACAGG